ACCCCACCGUGCUCCAUAUGGCUGCCUAUCUCCUCACUUUGGAUGAACUCUGCGAUGAGCAGGCCGCCCAUCUGAAGCAGCAGAUCCGCAGAGCCGAGGACGCCGAGGUUAUGGUGAGGAGGCUCCAGGUGAGAUUGGCAGCAGCUGAAGCCCGAGCCGCGGCCGCCCAAAGCAAUGAGGCCCUCACCAUCGAGGCCCUCAAAGAGGCCGAGGACCGGCACGCGCGGGCACUGAAGGAAGUCCACCACUCGAACCGCAUGAGAAGGAAAAUGCGG
rnacentral:lncRNA from 1 species